UGAACAUUUAAUUUUAAGUUGCUUUGGAUAAAAGCGUCUGCUAAAUGGCUAAAU
rfam:Danio rerio chromosome 2, GRCz11 reference primary assembly.